AUAUCAAGAGAUGUUAUAUGGAGUAAUAGAAGGAGAUAUAGGGAGAGAGGUUAUAUGGAGUAAUAGGAGGAGAUAUAGGGAGAGGUUAUAUGGAGUAAUAGGAGGAGAUAUAGAGAGGUUAUAUAGAGUAAUAGGAGGAGAUAUAGGGAGAG